AUUUCAAAUUUGUUCAGGUUUUCACAUUUUAAUGUUUCUUUUCCACUCUGUUCCAGCAUCUCAAAGAAAAGAGUAUCUAGAGAACUAAAUGAUUAUCAGAAAUGGAUAAUAAAUUAUAAUCUGUAGAAAAUGAAAGAUUACACACGAGAAAAGAAAUUCAAGAUAGUGUUCUGCUUCUUCUCUGUACUCCUGCUAUUACUUCUCUUUGAUUUUUCAUUUUUAGCUCUACCUUUCCCAUCAGAAAUCUUUCUAGGCUUAGAAUUCACACUUUCCUGAGAUUCCUUGGUAACAUAUAACACAUCUGAAUUUUCUACCUCAGUAACCCCUGAAGCUUGUUCUUCAAUGCUCUCCCUCUGAUGCAAGUCAAUCUCAUUCUCAUUUCGUUUUCUUUUCUUGGAAAUUUUAGGAGUUGAACACAAUAUAUUAAAAUUGUCAUUAUCUACUGCAAAUGCAACUUCUUCAGUACUGCUCUUUAUCAUAAAUGGGUUGUUAGGAAUCUUCACUGAAAUAUCCUCGGGCAUCAUUUUGUUUUCUGUUCUUUCAUGAAUUUCUCGUGGCAAAAUAAAUUUCUGAAGUGUGAGAGCUUCAUUGAUAUACUUCCUUUCAGUUACAACUGGAUCCUGCCUGAUCACUAUUCCUGCAAUAUCCUUCUCUCCUGUUUCAUGAGAAGAAAGGCCCAGAAAGCAGCUCUUUUCUCUGGAUACCACAGUGGAUUCAAGUUUCUGGAGAUUUUGGAUGACAAUGGGAUCUAUGUGACAUUCAGAACAUGGAAAGAAAUCGAAGGCUUCCAUGUUCAUUGGAUUCAAUUUUCCUUCAGCAAUUGCAGUUGCUACUGAAGGGGGAAGUUCUGGUCCAAGGAAAUCAAGCUUCUCAUCCAAAGAAUCUUGAAGAUCUUGUGAAAGAGGUUUCAUGUGUUUUAGUUUCUUGAUGUUGGCAUCAUAUAUUCGGGCAUGCUGGAAAACAGCAAGAGCUUCUUUGAAAGACUUGCAGUAAUCUUCAGGCAUUUGAUUGAGCUUCUCCAACUUCAGAACUGAUAAAACACGGUCCAAGUUUCGAUACUUUGAAACAUAGGAAUGAGCCCUCACAAUCCCAAUCCCAGGAACAGAUGGAAGGAAAUCACAACCAGCUAAGACACACAUGCCCGUAAACAACUCCCUAUUAAAAUAUUGGAAUGAAGGUUUGCAAGCCACAGCAUCAAACACCUUAUCUAAAACUAUCUCUUCGCCGUUGCCAUAUCGAUCCAUCUUAAAAAUGGUCUCCAUCUUGAACUAAUCAAAGUUUCGUGGAAGUUCUUACAGCUUGGCAACCAUAUGCCAAUAGAUCACUAUCCUCUGUUAUAACUGCUACUAUACCACCCUCUUCUGCUUCAAGACUUGAUAAAUAUGCUAACUGUGCAUCAGCUUCAUAUGGAGCUACCACAAAUUCCACAUUUUCUGAUCUCAAUAUCUGAAUCAGUUUACUUGCCAUGAGUGGGGUGAUACUCACUGCUCUCUGGAAGAGUUCACUGGCAGCAUUAACAUUCCCUUCCUUAAGCUUUUCCAUGGCCAAAUCACGAUUAGAUUCUCUUCUCCUGUGUCUCUCAUGUUCAGUUGCAGCUUUACAAGGAAUACUUGCACCAUCAAAAACAACAACUGGGGUAAUCUUGUAGUGUCUAAGAAGAUUGAUUCUGUGCAUGAAGUAGUCUAAAUAUCGCAGCUUUUUAUCGCUAUCUAAAUCUAGACAUAUCUCCAUACUACAUGAAUAAGCUCCUUUGUGAAGCCAUGAAUACGCA
rnacentral:misc_RNA from 1 species